rnacentral:misc_RNA from 1 species
GUGAACGCCCUCACGGGCUUAUAACUAUUCCAAACCUCUGUGAACCGUGCCCAUCGUACCUUUUUUUGUUGUUCCCUCGACGGUGCUCGCGGGCCCGCCGGCGGGAAGACCAAACAAACCCUUUGCAAACAAGCAUAUCGAAAUCUCUGAUCAAACAUGAAUUGUCA